GGAUAAACGCUGGCGGCGUGCCUAACACAUGCAAGUCGAACGCCCUUUUGCGCAAGUGAGAGGGAGUGGCGGACGGGUGAGUACCACGUGGGUACCUACCUUGAGGUGAGGAAUACCACCGAGAAAUCGGUGACAAGACCGCAUACGCUUGGCAACAAAGCAAAAGUCUCGCAAAGAGACGCCACAAGAAUGGGCCUGCGCCUGAUUAGCUAGUUGGUGAGGUAAUGGCUCACCAA
rnacentral:rRNA from 1 species